GGGCUUGUUGGGAUCAUGGCGGAGAAUCA
rnacentral:piRNA from 1 species